UACAGAGGGUGCGAGCGUUAAUCGGAAUUACUGGGCGUAAAGCGUGCGUAGACGGUCAUGUAAGUCGGGUGUGAAAGCCCCGGGCUCAACCUGGGAAUUGCAUUCGAGACUGCAUGGCUAGGAUGCGGAAGAGGGAAGCGGAAUUUCCGGUGUAGCAGUGAAAUGCGUAGAUAUCGGAAGGAACACCAGUGGCGAAAGCGGCUUCCUGGUCCAGCAUCGACGUUCAGGCACGAAAGCGUGGGGAGCAAACAGG
rnacentral:rRNA from 1 species